GGUUUCGUGGUGUAGUUGGUUAUCACGUCAGUCUAACAGUUCGAGGUUCACUGAAGGUCUCCGGUUCAAGUCCGGGCGAAAUCA
rnacentral:tRNA from 1 species